rnacentral:rRNA from 1 species
AUUGAACGCUGGCGGCAUGCUUUACACAUGCAAGUCGGACGGCAGCACAGAGAAGCUUGCUUCUUGGGUGGCGAGUGGCGAACGGGUGAGUAAUAUAUCGGAACGUACCGAGUAAUGGGGGAUAACUAAUCGAAAGAUUAGCUAAUACCGCAUAUUCUCUGAGGAGGAAAGCAGGGGACCUUCGGGCCUUGCGUUAUUCGAGCGGCCGAUAUCUGAUUAGCUAGUUGGUGGGGUAAAGGCCUACCAAGGCGACGAUCAGUAGCGGGUCUGAGAGGAUGAUCCGCCACACUGGGACUGAGACACGGCCCAGACUCCUACGGGAGGCAGCAGUGGGGAAUUUUGGACAAUGGGCGCAAGCCUGAUCCAGCCAUGCCGCGUGUCUGAAGAAGGCCUUCGGGUGCGUAAAGGACUUUUGUCAGGGAAGAAAAGGCUGUUGCUAAUAUCGACAGCUGAUGACGGUACCUGAAGAAUAAGCACCGGCUAACUACGUGCCAGCAGCCGCGGUAAUACGUAGGGUGCGAGCGUUAAUCGGAAUUACUGGGCGUAAAGCGAGCGCAGACGGUUACUUAAGCAGGAUGUGAAAUCCCCGGGCUCAACCUGGGAACUGCGUGCUGAACUGGGUGACUAGGAGUGUGUCAGAGGGAGGUAGAAUUCCACGUGUAGCAGUGAAAUGCGUAUAGAUGUGGAGGAAUACCGAUGGCGAAGGCAGCCUCCUGGGAUAACACUGACGUCCAUGCUCGAAAGCGUGGGUAGCAAACAGGAUUAGAUACCCUGGUAGUCCACGCCCUAAACGAUGUCAAUUAGCUGUUGGGCAACUUGAUUGCUUAGUAACGUAACUAACGCGUGAAAUUGACCGCCUGGGGAGUACGGUCGCAAGAUCAAAACUCAAAGGAAUUGACGGGGACCCGCUCUAGCGGUGGAUGAUGUGGAUUAAUCGAUGCAACGCGAGAACCUUACCUGGAUCUGACAUGUACG